AUCACAUACAAGUCGCAUACAUUUGGAAAUGUGAACAACCACGCAAAAAAAAUCUGAUUUCUCACAGAUUUUCACGAUCUUGCCUUGCCCUCGUCGGACUUCUCUAUUUUCUGGACAACAACCCUUUUUUUGCUCCUGCGGAGAAACAAGACCUUUGGCUCCCACUACAUACGGACUCUGAGAAAGUUAGUGGCUUUUUGUUGGUUACACACAUUUUUAACACAACUCCUUUAAGCCACUAACCAGCAUCUCUAUUCUAAGUGGUUCCUGAUCCAUGGUGGAUAUAUUCCUGAGUUCAGACCCAGAAUAAACUGCUUUUGUGUCUCUGGCUAAAAAUGUGGGUCCUCUGUCUGGAUCUUUACAUUGACACCUUAAAGGACAAAUGCUCCCUGUUAGAUUAUUGAAUUUCAUCACAAAACAUUGAUGAAGUCAUCAGUCAGCUUCAGAGGACACAGGUAUUGUAGGUGUCACAGCUGAAACGAGGGAGCUUAUUGUUUCAAACAGCACCUUAGAAUUGUUCUUAUUUAAGGUAAUAAGAUUAGAGAAAUACUUAAUUCUGGCUGUUUUUAUCAGUUCAUUUAAAGAAAUCCAAAGUUCCCUCGUGUGGAGCCUGUGAACCUCGAGCUUAGUGGAUUUCCACAAGAAUUCAAAUUUGUGACACUUGUAACCAAGCUGUUUUAAGGCUUCUCUUUCAUUUUUCCAUUUCUAAAUUUCCUCCAUCAGGCUCCAAGUCUGUAAUCUCGCGAGAGUUGCCGCGAUAUUUUCCCACGUGAUUUUCCCAUGAGACUUCCGGUGAGAUGUGAAUAAGUAUGGCCGCUCACUGUUGUUGUAUUUAGUGUGGGCUGGUGACUGCAUGGAGCUGCUGCAGAUACUUCUACUACUGAAGGUCGGUGUAUUUUGUGAACCUUGUGAAACUCACUAAGGACGGAACUGGCCAGGUUCCUUUGUUCCCAUGUAUUGGGUGGUGAGCUAGAGACAGGCCUCGUGCCUCAGCCCGGAAAGAAGCCGACUGCAACUCCCAUCAGUGCGGUAGGAGGCACUGCAGCUCGCUUCCCCCAACCCACAUACAUCCAUAUACUAACUUUUCAAUACCAUUCAGUCCUUUGCUCAUAAUCAACCUUUUUGGACAAUAAUACAGCCUUGUGGGGCUAUAUGAAGUGGAAAUUGCAGACCACAGUUUAGUAACCAUUUCUGUAAUUGUUCAUUUGGAAAAAAUUAACUGGCUUGUUUGUACUUAUUGUGUACAACUGUAAAUAUUGUAAAUAUUUUUCUUUUCAUAUAUUACACUUUUUUGCACCAGUAUUCUGUGUUGAGUCU